GACGAACGCUGGCGGCGUGCCUAAUACAUGCAAGUAGAACGCACAGUUUAUACCGUAGCUUGCUACACCAUAGACUGUGAGUUGCGAACGGGUGAGUAACGCGUAGGUAACCUGCCUGGUAGCGGGGGAUAACUAUUGGAAACGAUAGCUAAUACCGCAUAAUAUUAAUUAUUGCAUGAUAAUUAAUUGAAAGGUGCAAUUGCACCACUACCAGAUGGACCUGCGUUGUAUUAGCUAGUAGGUGAGGUAACGGCCCACCUAGGCGACGAUACAUAGCCGACCUGAGAGGGUGAUCGGCCACACUGGGACUGAGACACGGCCCAGACUCCUACGGGAGGCAGCAGUAGGGAAUCUUCGGCAAUGGACGAAAGUCUGACCGAGCAACGCCGCGGGAGUGAAGAAGGUUUUCGGAUCGUAAAGCUCUGUUGUAAGAGAAGAACGGGUGUGAGAGUGGAAAGUUCACACUGUGACGGUAUCUUACCAGAAAGGGACGGCUAACUACGUG
rnacentral:rRNA from 1 species